rnacentral:rRNA from 1 species
UACAGAGGUCUCAAGCGUUUGUUCGGAUUCAUUGGGCGUAAAGGGUGCGUAGGCGGCGCGGUAAGUCGGGUGUGAAAUCUUGGAGCUUAACUCCGAAACUGCAUUCGAUACUGCCGUGCUUGAGGACUGGAGAGGAGACUGGAAUUUACGGUGUAGCGGUGAAAUGCGUAGAUAUCGUAAGGAAGACCAGUGGCGAAGGCGGGUCUCUGGACAGUUCCUGACGCUGAGGCACGAAGGCCAGGGGGAGCAAAACGGGGA